rnacentral:lncRNA from 1 species
UAUUUGAAUAAUUGAUUAGUGAAUUGCUAGUUUUGAUCUAAGUAGUAUUUUCUCAAUAGAUUAAUCUAAAUCCUUUUGAUUUAGGUUAAAACAAUUUCACUUGGAUCAAUUAAUUGCAAUAUCGAUUCAAUUAUUCAAAUUCUUGUGUUUCGUGUUUUCAAUUGAUAAUAAGGUUUAUUGUCAUAUAUGUUUGGUUUGAAAUUGUAUAUUGUUUUGUAUCUUGUUUAAGGAUUGUUAAUAAUUGAUUGUGUCAAAAGAUUUGUAUCGUGAAUCUCUCAAUUCUGAGAUAAAAUCUUAUUCCACAUAUAUUUGUUAUUUGUUAAUUCAUUGGUUGUGAUUGUUCAAGCAAAUUUCAAAUAGUCAAUUUCAAUAAAACUUGUUUUUAUCA